rnacentral:rRNA from 1 species
AUUGAACGCUGGCGGCAGGCUUAACACAUGCAAGUCGAGCGAGCGGCGGACGGGUGAGUAAUGUCUGGGAAACUGCCUGAUGGAGGGGGAUAACUACUGACAACGGUAGCUAAUACCGCAUACCAUCAGAUGUGCCCAGAUGGGAUUAGCUAGUAGGUGGGGUAAUGGCUCACCUAGGCGAAGAUCCCUAGCUGGUCUGAGAGGAUGACAAGUCACACGUGAACUGAGACACGGUCCAGACUCCUACGCGAGGGAGUAGGGGGGAAUAUUGCACAAUGGGAGAAAGCCUGCUGGAGCCACGCCGCGUGUAGGAAGAUGUCCUUCGGGUUGUAACGCACUUUCAGCGAGGAGGCGCUACUCGCAGAAGAAGAACCGGUUAACUCCGUGGCAGCAGCCGCGGUAAUUC